CCUACGGGCGGCAGCAGUGAGGAAUAUUGGUCAAUGGACGAGAGUCUGAACCAGCCAAGUAGCGUGAAGGAUGACUGCCCUAUGGGUUGUAAACUUCUUUUAUAUGGGAAUAAAACGUUCCACGUGUGGGAUUUUGUAUGUACCAUAUGAAUAAGGAUCGGCUAACUCCGUGCCAGCAGCCCCGGUAAUACGGAGGAUCCGAGCGUUAUCCGGAUUUAUUGGGUUUAAAGGGAGCGUAGGUGGAUUGUUAAGUCAGUUGUGAAAGUUUGCGGCUCAACCGUAAAAUUGCAGUUGAAACUGGCAGUCUUGAGUACAGUAGAGGUGGGCGGAAUUCGUGGUGUAGCGGUGAAAUGCUUAGAUAUCACGAAGAACUCCGAUUGCGAAGGCAGUUCACUGGACUGCAACUGACACUGAGGCUCGAAAGUGUGGGUAUCAAACAGGAUUAGAUACCCCAGUAGUC
rnacentral:rRNA from 1 species